rnacentral:rRNA from 1 species
AUAGGCGUUGAAAAGCCCCGGGAUGACUUGUGGAUAGGGGUGAAAGGCCAAUCAAACUUCGUGAUAGCUGGUUCUCUCCGAAAUAUAUUUAGGUAUAGCGUUGUGUCGUAAUAUAAGGGGGUAGAGCACUGAAUGGGCUAGGGCAUACACCAAUGUACCAAACCCUAUCAAACUCCGAAUACCUUAUAUGUAAUCACAGCAGUCAGGCGGCGAGUGAUAAAAUCCGUCGUCAAGAGGGAAACAACCCAGACUACCAGCUAAGGUCCCUAAAUCUUACUUAAGUGGAAAACGAUGUGAAGUUACUUAAACAACCAGGAGGUUGGCUUAGAAGCAGCCAUCCUUUAAAGAAAGCGUAAUAGCUCACUGGUCUAGUGAUUUUGCGCGGAAAAUAUAACGGGGCUAAAGUAAGUACCGAAGCUGUAGACUUGCGCACAACUUAGAUUAUUUAAGUUUAGAAUAUGAGAAACUAAGUUAUAUGUUUAGUUAUAUUUUUACUGAUUUUUAUAGAGUAAAGAUAGAAAUAAAACUUAGUAAAAUCAGUAAAAAUAUUCUUAGACUAAAGUUAAGUAGUUUAAGUUGUGUGCAAGUGGUAGGAGAGCGUUCUAUUUGCGUCGAAGGUAUACCGGUAAGGAGUGCUGGAGCGAAUAGAAGUGAGCAUGCAGGCAUGAGUAGCGAUAAUUAAUGUGAGAAUCAUUAACGCCGUAAACCCAAGGUUUCCUACGCGAUGCUCGUCAUCGUAGGGUUAGUCGGGUCCUAAGUCGAGUCCGAAAGGGGUAGACGAUGGCAAAUUGGUUAAUAUUCCAAUACCAACAUUAGUGUGCGAUGGAAGGACGCUUAGGGCUAAGGGGGCUAGCGGAUGGAAGUGCUAGUCUAAGGUCGUAGGAGGUUAUACAGGCAAAUCCGUAUAACAAUACUCCGAGAACUGAAAGGCUUUUUGAAGUCUUCGGAUGGAUAGAAGAACCCCUGAUGCCGUCGAGCCAAGAAAAGUUUCUAAGUUUAGCUAAUGUUGCCCGUACCGUAAACCGACACAGGUGGGUGGGAUGAGUAUUCUAAGGCGCGUGGAAGAACUCUCUUUAAGGAACUCUGCAAAAUAGCACCGUAUCUUCGGUAUAAGGUGUGGUUCGCUUCGUAUUAGGAUUUACUCCGAAAGCGAAGAAACUUACAACAAAGAGUCCCUCCCGACUGUUUACCAAAAACACAGCACUCUGCUAACUCGUAAGAGGAUGUAUAGGGUGUGACGCCUGCCCGGUGCUCGAAGGUUAAUUGAUGGGGUUAGCAUUAGCGAAGCUCUUGAUCGAAGCCCGAGUAAACGGCGGCCGUAACUAUAACGGUCCUAAGGUAGCGAAAUUCCUUGUCGGUUAAAUACCGACCUGCAUGAAUGGCGUAACGAGAUGGGAGCUGUCUCAAAGAGGGAUCCAGUGAAAUUGUAGUGGAGGUGAAAAUUCCUCCUACCCGCGGCAAGACGGAAAGACCCCGUGGACCUUUACUACAGCUUGACACUGCUAUUUGGAUAAGAAUGUGCAGGAUAGGUGGGAGGCUUUGAGUAUAUGACGCCAGUUGUAUAUGAGCCAUUGUUGAGAUACCACUCUUUCUUAUUUGGGUAGCUAACCAGCUUGAGUUAUCCUCAAGUGGGACAAUGUCUGGUGGGUAGUUUGACUGGGGCGGUCGCCUCCCAAAUAAUAACGGAGGCUUACAAAGGUUGGCUCAGAACGGUUGGAAAUCGUUCGUAGAGUAUAAAGGUAUAAGCCAGCUUAACUGCAAGACAUACAAGUCAAGCAGAGACGAAAGUCGGUCUUAGUGAUCCGGUGGUUCUGUGUGGAAGGGCCAUCGCUCAAAGGAUAAAAGGUACCCCGGGGAUAACAGGCUGAUCUCCCCCAAGAGCUCACAUCGACGGGGAGGUUUGGCACCUCGAUGUCGGCUCAUCGCAUCCUGGGGCUGGAGCAGGUCCCAAGGGUAUGGCUGUUCGCCAUUUAAAGCGGUACGCGAGCUGGGUUCAGAACGUCGUGAGACAGUUCGGUCCCUAUCUGCCGUGGGCGUAAGAAGAUUGAAGAGAUUUGACCCUAGUACGAGAGGACCGGGUUGAACAAACCACUGGUGUAGCUGUUGUUCUGCCAAGAGCAUCGCAGCGUAGCUAAGUUUGGAAAGGAUAAACGCUGAAAGCAUCUAAGCGUGAAGCCAACUCUAAGAUGAAUCUUCUCUAAGCUCUCUAGAAGACUACUAGUUUGAUAGGCUGGGUGUGUAAUGGAUGAAAGUCCUUUAGCUGACCAGUACUAAUAGAGCGUUUGGCUUAUCUUUAAUAAAGCAU